GUGCAAUGGCAUAAGCCAGCUUGACUGCGAGCGUGACGGCGCGAGCAGGUGCGAAAGCAGGUCAUAGUGAUCCGGUGGUUCUGAAUGGAAGGGCCAUCGCUCAACGGAUAAAAGGUACUCCGGGGAUAACAGGCUGAUACCGCCCAAGAGUUCAUAUCGACGGCGGUGUUUGGCACCUCGAUGUCGGCUCAUCACAUCCUGGGGCUGAAGUAGGUCCCAAGGGUAUGGCUGUUCGCCAUUUAAAGUGGUACGCGAGCUGGGUUUAGAACGUCGUGAGACAGUUCGGUCCCUAUCUGCCGUGGGCGCUGGAGAACUGAGGGGGGCUGCUCCUAGUACGAGAGGACCGGAGUGGACGCAUCACUGGUGUUCGGGUUGUCAUGCCAAUGGCACUGCCCGGUAGCUAAAUGCGGAAGAGAUAAGUGCUGAAAGCAUCUAAGCACGAAACUUGCCCCGAGAUGAGUUCUCCCUGACUCCUUGAGAGUCCUGAAGGAACGUUG
rnacentral:rRNA from 1 species